rnacentral:rRNA from 1 species
AAGAGCUUCAAUCAAGUUGGUUCCACUUGCAUUAGAUCAAAAAAACAUUCUAUUUAAUAACAAAAUUUAUCCCAUUGCAUUUACACUUGAUUAGGUUAGAAAUUUGAUAGAUUUACUAGCUCACUAGUUCUCGAAUUUUUUAUUUUUAGACUAGUAAUUUUCCAUUAUUUAAUAAAUAUUUUCCAAUGUAUAGAUGAAUUUGUGGAUAGAUGUAGAAAAUAAUGUGUGUUGUUGUAGGAGUUUCUACAUUGUAGGGAGACCUCAUCUCAUUUGCCUCAUCCAAGCCUCAUCCACCCAUGUCGUCAAAAUCCACUAAAAUCUCAAUUUGAAUUCUCGUUUUAUAAGCAAGAAUUGCCAUUUCCAUUGAGAAAAUCUACCCAUCUUGAAUCCCUUGCUUGAGUUCUGGGUAGUUUCCACCACCUCCAUGUCUUAUUUUUGCAUUAUCCACCUUUACCAAGCUCCAUUCCACCUUCUAGACCACUUCAUAAGCUUUCGGCCUGUUUUUUGUAGUAAAACGGUGGAUCCUGUAGACAUCCUGUAGGCACUAGUAGAUCCUGUAGGAAAUCUUAUAGUGGCAUGUUUUGAGCCAGAAUUGAGAAAAAUAAUAAUUUAAGUUAGGCUUAGGCCUCUACUUGACCUCCAAGCCAUCAAAACCAUUGUACCCCUCUCCGUCCACACCUGUGUACCCCUCUUCUCACUGAUGUGCCAAGUGAAAGUUAUGACAACUUUCCCAAAUCUUAUUGAUUUUGGCAUUUUCCUAGUAGAAAAUUUUAUAAAACACCACAUGUUCAACUAUUUAUAUCUAAUUCUAAAAUAUUUACCAAAGUAACUUCAGUAUGUCUCCUGAGAUCUAAGAAAAUUUCAUAGUGUGAAGUGUUGAUCUAGAUAUUUUACCUCAAGGAUGCAUAUAGAAUUGUAUUUAAAAUAACAUGUAACCAUAUGAUGCAUACACAUAAAAGAAGUAGAAAUAAAAUGCAACAAUGGGAAACAAAGGCACAAAAACGAGUUGAUAAUGGAUUUCACCCAGUGUGGUUUACGUCUUUAGGCCCUGAUCAAUGUGGGGAGGCUUCUUUCAUAAAUCUUCAUUUAAAUCAAAUUACAUGCAAGUACAAAGACACCUUAUACUUCCACUGUCGGGGAAGUCCUAAAAAUGCAGACCUCUGCUGAAGAAACAAACUGUAUGGCGGAAUUCCAGGAAAAAAAUCGUGAAAAAUGACUAUAAACUUGACCCUAUUCUGUGUUGGUGACCUCUGGGGCUCUAGGGAAUCUUUUAGAUUCCUUACAAGAUUCUCUAUGAAUAUUCCAAAGAUUUCAAAGAACCUUUCUCGAAAAACGUGCCUUGGCAGGGCACAGUUCUAGUUGUGUUGGGUUCUGUAGAUUAUGAUUCUGUCUCUGUUAGGUUACGACUCUCCUCCCCCGACGCAAAUGAAUGACCCCUAUAUAUAUAAUUUAGUGGGCAGAUAAUGAAUGACCCCUAUUGUUACUCCUGUCGUUUACUCUCUUAAGGUAGCCAAAUGCCUCGUCAUUUAAUUAGUGAUGUGCAUGAAUGGAUUAACGAGAUUCCCACUGUCCCUAUCUACUAUCUAACGAAACCACAGCCAAGGGAACGGGCUUGGCAGAAUCAGCGGGGAAAGAAGACCCUGUUGAGCUUGACUCUAGUCCGACUUUGUGACAUGACUAGAGAGGUGUAGAAUAAGUGGGAGCUGUUUUCGGCGCAAGUGAAAUACCACUACUUUUAACGUUAUUUUACUUAUUAUGUGGGGUGGAGAUGGGGCACUGCCCCUGUUUUUGGCCUUAAGGCACGUUUCGGUGGGUCGAUCCAGGCGGAAGACAUUGUCAGGUGGGGAUUUUGGCUGGGGCAUCACAUCUGUUAAGAGAUAACGCAGGUGUCCUAAGAUGAGCUCAACAAGAACAGAAAUCUCGUGUGGAACAAAAGGGUAAAAGCUCAUUUGAUUUUGAUUUUCAGUACGAAUACAAACUGUGAAAGCGUGGCCUAUCUAUCCUUUAGAUUUUUGGAAUUUGAAGCUAGAGGUGUCAGAAAAGUUACCACAAGGAUAACUGGCUUGUGGCAGCCAAGUGUUCAUAGCGACGUUGCUUUUUGAUCCUUCAAUGUUGGCUCUUCCUAUCAUUGUGAAGCAGAAUUCACCAAGUUGGAUUGUUCACCCACCAAUAGGGAACGUGAGCUGGGUUUAGACCGUCAUGAGACAGGUUAGUUUUACCCUACUGAUGAACCACACCGCAAUAGUAAUUCAACUUAGUAUGAGAGGAACCGUUGAUUCACACAAUUGGUCAUCGCGCUUGGUUGAAAAGCCGGUGGCAUGAAGCUAUUGUGUGUCGGAUUAUGACUAAACGCCUCUAAGUCAGAAUCCAUGCUAGAAGCGGUGCAUGUCACUCUUCGACUUUUUCUUGACCCGCAGUAGGGGCGUCGCUUUGUCGCCCCCAGGGGCCCGUGUCAUUUGCAAACCGUGACCGUGAAGCAUCUCAGUCGGGGCAGCUUUGAAUUUCAAUUCCAAACGGUCGUUGAGAAGAAU